CAGGACCAGUCUUCAGUUGCUGUGCAUACACAGACAAAAAUACAGCUCUUCACAGUCGAAUCAUUUGGUCUUGUGAUUGGACACCAGACAGCAACUAUUUUAUUACUGGCAGUCGGGACAAAAAGGUCAUUAUCUGGGGCCAGUGCGAUUUAUCUGUGACUGCUGAAGGGAAUGUGUUGGAUUCAAUCAAACCUUGUUCAACAGUACUGGAUGCCGGGGAUUCUGUUACUGCUGUUAGUAUCAGCCGAGUGCUUACUCCUGAUGGAAGAUAUAUUGUUGCAGUAGGCUUAGAGAACGGGAAGAUUAUCUUGUACACAUGGAAACAGAGUGGGCAAGAACCAGCACCAGCUGAUUGGACUACGUGUGUUGAGGUGGAUAACAGCCUAAGUCAUGCUCUUGCUGUGAAAUGUUUGUGUUGGAGACAUCAUGCAGGCAGAGCUGGACAUAAUGAUCGGAACAGCAGCGAGUGGUUGCAGCUUGCAAGUUGUGGAGCUGAUCACUGUGUUAAGAUACUCAAUGUCAACAGAUUUGCUCUUUAGCAAAGACAGCAGGCCUGUCUAUGCAAAACAGAUUCACAACCUUUUAUUUCAUCUUUUAGCCAUUUUGACUGUUGAAUUUUCUGUUUUCUGCUGUGGAAAGUGAAAGAUCUGAUAUGUAACUUAUUAAAGCAACUGUUGUGGUAGUUUGAAAUGUCAAA